CUCCCUGCCAAGAAAUCUUCCAAGUCUUUUACUUCCGAGGAAGUUGGUUUGAUCAAAGACACUGCAAAUAAUCACAAGUUAAAAUCCGUACCACAUAAACAUUUCAAAAAAUUAUAUCACAGAAUGGUCCAAGACUUACGUUUAUGGUCAUACAACCAUGCUUGCUUGGUCAGUAAAGUGAAGCUCCACUCUUGAGAGGGGAUCUUAUUCAUGAAGUCGCCAAUCUCCCUCACGCGCCCCUCGGGGAUGUCACCAAAGUCAGCAGAGAUACACUCCGAAGUGGUCCAAUCGGGAAGGGAAGAGAUUCCAGGACUAGUGACGAAGAACCAUUUCUCAUGCCAUCCUUUGUUGCUCGAGGGGGUGCUCAUUAGGGGCCUCUUCUCGAAUUUCGAGUUUGGGCGUGGGGACUGUUUGCUCAGCAUUUUGAACCCUCGUUCUCGGGAUCUGCCAGCCGAGAAGAGGGUGAAGAAGAGGUCAACAGAGGGGGUAACCCCUAAUUCGUGGCAGAAGGCGAUGAACGCCAGUAUAUGGAUAUAGGAGUUGGGCACCAGUUAUG
rnacentral:lncRNA from 1 species